GAUGAACGCUGGCGGCGUGCCUAAUACAUGCAAGUCGAGCGAACAGACGAGGAGCUUGCUCCUUCGACGUUAGCGGCGGACGGGUGAGUAACACGUAGGUAACCUACCUAUAGGACUGGGAUAACUUCGGGAAACCGGAGCUAAUACCGGAUAAUAUUUCGAACCGCAUGGUUCGAUAGUGAAAGAUGGCUUUGCUAUCACUUAUAGAUGGACCUGCGCCGUAUUAGCUAGUUGGUAAGGUAACGGCUUACCAAGGCAACGAUACGUAGCCGACCUGAGAGGGUGAUCGGCCACACUGGAACUGAGACACGGUCCAGACUCCUACGGGAGGCAGCAGUAGGGAAUCUUCCGCAAAGGGCGAAAGCCUGACGGAGCAACGCCGCGUGAGUGAUGAAGGUCUUCGGAUCGUAAAACUCUGUUAUUAGGGAAGAACAAACGUGUAAGUAACUGUGCACGUCUUGACGGUACCUAAUCAGAAAGCCACGGCUAACUACGUG
rnacentral:rRNA from 1 species